UGCAGGUAGAGAAGGAUAAAAAAAUUCAGGAUCUAUAUGAUGAGCUCCGGUGUGAAAGAGAGCGAUCUGCAGCAUUCCAACAACAGUUAUGCCUGAUUCUCAAGGACCUUGAGGAACAUGCUGAAUAUAUCUCUGUAAGAGUUGAAGACAUUGUUAAGAGCAUGAAAGAAAUUGAACUUCGUGACCUAUAGCUUUGAAGUCAAGGGAAUGGUGCCAUAUAAUUGAAUUUUGACCGAUUUUGAAAAUUUGAGUAACUGGCUCUGGUUAAAGCUAAACUCCUGUGUUGGCUUAACCAGUUUUGCUGUUGGAAAAUAGCAUGUUGUCAAGAAAGGCAUGCUGGAAUGAACUGGCUAAAGAAAUCUGCAUGAGGAUGUGUUCCCCUGCUAAUAUCGACCUUGAAGGAUGCCUAAGGUUAGAAACUUUUUUUUCAUAUGAUUCCUUGAUCUCUAAUACAACUAGCUCUUCCCUGCAAACCCAGUUGUGUUGGAUUUUAUUCCACAAGUUUACCAUUUUAAUGUAAAGGAUGAUAAGCACACUGUAAAGCGAGUUCCACAAGUUUACCAUAUUCAGUGUGCCUAUUUUAGUGCUAACCUUGAGCCUGGAAGGUGGCUUGUGUUCCGCUUCGACACUAAGUCGUCUUUGUCCAAGUUUGAACCGCAGACGACUCUCCAGUAGUUCCAUUCCUUCUUACUAUACUUCUGGGUCAACCCAACCCGAACAGGAAGAAGAGGAUCAGCCAAACAGCAGGCAGCUCAACUUUGUACAUUUUCUUAGGCAAACCAAUCCGUCAUUUUUCGAUGAAAGGCCAAAAUUUGUGUUUUGUUUCAUUACAUUGCACAGUUGUACCUUUUGGCCCUAAAGGAUGACAAGCAUAUGCUGCAAUUCUAGCUCUAAGAGAGAGACUGGCAUUCAGUGUGUCUCCUUUUAUACGUUACUUUUAGCAGGACGUACAUGUGCACCGAGUUUAUCCAAGUUAUAAUAUUUGUACAUCUAAAUUCUGUAUUCUGAAUGGUCAAUCCUAGACUCGUGCUCAUUUUAGUGGAUUUGUAACAACACGUGACAUGCCGUGGGGAUUUAUUGUGAAAUACAAUUAUGUCUCUGUUUUUGCAA